GGGGAAUUUUGGACAAUGGGCGAAAGCCUGAUCCAGCCAUGCCGCGUGAGUGAAGAAGGCCUUCGGGUUGUAAAGCUCUUUCGGCUGGGAAGAAAUCGCACAGGCUAAUACUCUGUGUGGAUGACGGUACCAGCACAAGAAGCACCGGCUAACUACGUGCCAGCAGCCGCGGUAAUACGUAGGGUGCGAGCGUUAAUCGGAAUUACUGGGCGUAAAGCGUGCGCAGGCGGUUGUGCAAGACAGAUGUGAAAUCCCCGGGCUCAACCUGGGAACUGCAUUUGUGACUGCACGACUAGAGUACGGCAGAGGGGGGUAGAAUUCCACGUGUAGCAGUGAAAUGCGUAGAGAUGUGGAGGAAUACCGAUGGCGAAGGCAGCCCCCUGGGCCGAUACUGACGCUCAUGCACGAAAGCGUGGGGAGCAAAC
rnacentral:rRNA from 1 species